GAGUUUGAUCCUGGCUCAGGACGAACGCUGGCGGCGUGCCUAAUACAUGCAAGUAGAACGCUGAAGAGAGGAGCUUGCUCUUCUUGGAUGAGUUGCGAACGGGUGAGUAACGCGUAGGUAACCUGCCUUGUAGCGGGGGAUAACUAUUGGAAACGAUAGCUAAUACCGCAUAACAAUGGAUGACACAUGUCAUUUAUUUGAAAGGGGCAAUUGCUCCACUACAAGAUGGACCUGCGUUGUAUUAGCUAGUAGGUGAGGUAAUGGCUCACCUAGGCGACGAUACAUAGCCGACCUGAGAGGGUGAUCGGCCACACUGGGACUGAGACACGGCCCAGACUCCUACGGGAGGCAGCAGUAGGGAAUCUUCGGCAAUGGGGGCAACCCUGACCGAGCAACGCCGCGUGAGUGAAGAAGGUUUUCGGAUCGUAAAGCUCUGUUGUAAGUCAAGAACGGGUGUGAGAGUGGAAAGUUCACACUAUGACGGUAGCUUACCAGAAAGGGACGGCUAACUACGUGCCAGCAGCCGCGGUAAUACGUAGGUCCCGAGCGUUGUCCGGAUUUAUUGGGCGUAAAGCGAGCGCAGGCGGUUUGAUAAGUCUGAAGUUAAAGGCUGUGGCUCAACCAUAGUUCGCUUUGGAAACUGUCAAACUUGAGUGCAGAAGGGGAGAGUGGAAUUCCAUGUGUAGCGGUGAAAUGCGUAGAUAUAUGGAGGAACACCGGUGGCGAAAGCGGCUCUCUGGUCUGUAACUGACGCUGAGGCUCGAAAGCGUGGGGAGCGAACAGGAUUAGAUACCCUGGUAGUCCACGCCGUAAACGAUGAGUGCUAGGUGUUGGAUCCUUUCCGGGAUUCAGUGCCGCAGCUAACGCAUUAAGCACUCCGCCUGGGGAGUACGACCGCAAGGUUGAAACUCAAAGGAAUUGACGGGGGCCCGCACAAGCGGUGGAGCAUGUGGUUUAAUUCGAAGCAACGCGAAGAACCUUACCAGGUCUUGACAUCCCGAUGCUAUUUCUAGAGAUAGAAAGUUACUUCGGUACAUCGGUGACAGGUGGUGCAUGGUUGUCGUCAGCUCGUGUCGUGAGAUGUUGGGUUAAGUCCCGCAACGAGCGCAACCCCUAUUGUUAGUUGCCAUCAUUCAGUUGGGCACUCUAGCGAGACUGCCGGUAAUAAACCGGAGGAAGGUGGGGAUGACGUCAAAUCAUCAUGCCCCUUAUGACCUGGGCUACACACGUGCUACAAUGGUUGGUACAACGAGUUGCGAGUCGGUGACGGCGAGCUAAUCUCUUAAAGCCAAUCUCAGUUCGGAUUGUAGGCUGCAACUCGCCUACAUGAAGUCGGAAUCGCUAGUAAUCGCGGAUCAGCACGCCGCGGUGAAUACGUUCCCGGGCCUUGUACACACCGCCCGUCACACCACGAGAGUUUGUAACACCCGAAGUCGGUGAGGUAACCUUUUGGAGCCAGCCGCCUAAGGUGGGACAGAUGAUUGGGGUGAAGUCGUAACAAGGUAGCCGUAUCGGAAGGUGCGGCUGGAUCAC
rnacentral:rRNA from 1 species